rnacentral:tRNA from 1 species
GGAGAGAUGGCUGAGCUGGUCGAAGGCGCUCGACUCGAAAUCGAGUGAACUGUGAUGAGCGGUUCCGAGGGUUCGAAUCCCUCUCUCUCCGCCA